rnacentral:lncRNA from 1 species
GGAGUCCAGGCACAGCAUGGCUGGGUCCGCUGCUCAGGAUGUCACAAGGCUGCCGGCAGGUGCUGGCUGGGGCUGCGGCCUCCUCAAAGUCUCCACUGGAGAGCCUUCCAAGCUCCUCCUGGUUGCUGGUCAGCUGGGGGCUCUGCCACAUCUCUCUGGACUCUGUCACCCAGACCAAUAGAGGAGCCAUCAUCUUAAACGUUGCUGAUUACUGUGGCAAAGAGAAAGAAAGGCCUAGAAGGUCUCCCAUUGGCAGCCAAGUGCUCCAGCUCACCAAUGUUACACCUCACUUCUAUUCAAAAUGCCCCGCAAGGGGGCCGGCCUAUACAAUCUACUGUUUCUAAGGGCAAGAGCUGGAAGGGUUGGAGGACAGCACCCCUGUCGCCCCUAGAAAGCCUCUUUACUGAGAUGUGGCCCACAGGGAGUUUGUCAAUAAAGGAGGUUCAAAGAAGAACAGUUACCUGAAGGACGUUUCAUGUCAAGCAGAUAAGAGUUACAGAGCUCUCGGCAGUCUGCAGGGGUCCAACUUCAAGGUAAAAUGUUCAAAAUUAGUACUAGAUCAUUCACUGAUUGGUAAUAAUGAAAAAUUAAUAAAG